CUGGCGGCGUGCCUAAUACAUGCAAGUCGAACGGCUUUUCUAUGGAAGCUUGCUUCCACUGAGAAGAUAGUGGCGAACGGGUGAGUAACACGUGGGUAACCUGCCCAUAAGAGGGGGGAUAACAUCCGGAAACGGGUGCUAAUACCGCAUAGUUUUCUUGAUCGCAUGAUUGAGAAAGGAAAGACGGCCUUUGUGCUGUCGCUUAUGGAUGGACCCGCGGCGUAUUAGUUAGUUGGUGAGGUAAUGGCUCACCAAGACGAUGAUACGUAGCCGACCUGAGAGGGUGAUCGGCCACAUUGGGACUGAGACACGGCCCAAACUCCUACGGGAGGCAGCAGUAGGGAAUCUUCCGCAAUGGACGAAAGUCUGACGGAGCAACGCCGCGUGAGUGAAAGAAGGUUUUCGGAUCGUAAAACUCUGUUGUCAGAGAAGAACAAGUUGGAGAGUAACUGCUCCAGCCUUGACGGUAUCUGACCAGAAAGCCACGGCUAACUACGUGCCAGCCGCCGC
rnacentral:rRNA from 1 species